CAAAUUGAUGAUUUGGAGAUGCAACUUGCAGAAUUUCAAGACAGCAUCUGGGCUCAAGUGUUUGUCAACCUGAGGUCGAAACUUGAGAAUCUGGAAAAAAGGAAUCGCUUAGAGAAUGAAGAAGUGUGCCACUACGAACAGGAAAUUUUGGGUGCUUGGAACCAAUUACAGAACAAUUUUAGCACCCUGAAAAAUCUAGCGAUGGCUUUACUCACAAUUUUAAAUAAUAUUAAAACCAAUAAAAGAAACCGACUGAUAGAUGAAGCUAGUAGUGCUUGCUUGGG